rnacentral:rRNA from 1 species
GAGUUUGAUCGUGGCUCAGGACGAACGCUGGCGGCGUGCUUAACACAUGCAAGUCGAACGGAAAGGCCCUGCUUUUGUGGGGUGCUCGAGUGGCGAACGGGUGAGUAGCACGUGAGUAACCUGCCCUUGACUUUGGGAUAACUUCAGGAAACUGGGGCUAAUACCGGAUAGGAGCUCCUGCUGCAUGGUGGGGGUUGGAAAGUUUCGGCGGUUGGGGAUGGACUCGCGGCUUAUCAGCUUGUUGGUGGGGUAGUGGCUUACCAAGGCUUUGACGGGUAGCCGGCCUGAGAGGGUGACCGGCCACAUUGGGACUGAGAUACGGCCCAGACUCCUACGGGAGGCAGCAGUGGGGAAUAUUGCACAAUGGGCGGAAGCCUGAUGCAGCAACGCCGCGUGCGGGAUGACGGCCUCGGUUGUAA